ensembl:lncRNA novel transcript, antisense to TTC22
AGGGGGUAUUCCCCCUCUAUCCUGGAGAAUAAAGUUGCUGUGAAACCUCUUAUGGCUGCAAGGAAUUCAGUUACAGAGUUUAUGACUCCCAGAGGCAAGAUGUUUGGAGGCAGCCUGGGAGGAGGCUCACAGGACUUCUGCCAGAAGAGGAGUAUUUACAGUGAACCUGCCUGGGAUCAGGAAACAGAGACUACAGAAAAAGCCACCGGCCCAGCCCCAUAGCCCAGGGCAGAAGUGCCAGGAUUCAAGUUCAGAUCUGCCUCCCUCCAAUGCCCCUGUUGUUUCCACCUCAUCAUGCUGACUCUGUGAAGGCUGACACUGCAGAAAUAAAAGUCACAAGGUG